GAACGAACGCUGGGGGCAGGCCUAACCCAUGCAAGUCGAGGGAAGCCUUCGGGCUUAGGGGGGGACGGGUUAGUAACGGGUGGGAACGUGCCCUUCCCUACGGAAAAGUCCUGGGAAACUGGGUUUAAAACCGUAAACGCCCUUCGGGGGAAAGAAUUUCGGUGAAGGAUCGGCCCGGGUUAGAUUAGGUAGUUGGUGGGGUAAUGGCCUACCAAGCCGACGAUCUAAAGCUGGUUUUAGAGGAUGAUCAGCAACCCUGGGACUGAGACCCGGCCCAGACCCCUACGGGAGGCAGCAGUGGGGAAUCUUGGACAAUGGGGGCAACCCUGAUCCAGCCAUGCCGGGUGAGUGAUGAAGGCCCUAGGGUCGUAAAGCCCUUUCGCCUGUGAUGAAAAUGACAGUAGCAGGUAAAGAAACCCCGGCUAACCCCGUGCCAGCAGCCGGGGUAAAACGGAGGGGGUUAGGGUUGUUCGGAAUUACUGGGGGUAAAGGGGGGGUAGGGGGACUAUUAAGUCAGGGGUGAAAUCCCGGGGCCCAACCCCGGAACUGCCCUUGAAACUGGUAGUCUUGAGUUCGAGAGAGGUGAGUGGAAUUCCGAGUGUAGAGGUGAAAUUCGUAGAAAUUCGGAGGAACCCCAGUGGGGAAGGGGGCCCCCUGGCCCGAAACUGACGCUGAGGUGGGAAAGUGUGGGGAGCAAACAGGAUUAGAAACCCUGGUAGUCCCCACCGUAAACGAUGAAUGCCAGUCGUCGGGCAGUAAACUGUUCGGUGACCCACCUAACGGAUUAAGCAUUCCGCCUGGGGAGUACGGCCGCAAGGUUAAAACCCAAAGGAAUUGACGGGGGCCCGCCCAAGGGGUGGAGCAUGUGGUUUAAUUCGAAGCAACGGGCAGAACCUUACCAACCCUUGACAUCCUGUGCUACAUCCAGAGAUGGAUGGUUCCCUUCGGGGACGCAGUGACAGGUGCUGCAUGGCUGUCGUCAGCCCGUGUCGUGAGAUGUUCGGUUAAGUCCGGCAACGAGGGCAACCCCCGUCCUUAGUUGCCAGCAGUUCGGCUGGGCCCCCUAAGGAAACUGCCCGUGAAAAGGGGGAGGAAGGUGUGGAUGACGUCAAGUCCCCAUGGCCCUUACGGGUUGGGCUACCCACGUGCUACAAUGGUAGUGACAAUGGGUUAAUCCCAAAAAGCUAUCCCAGUUCGGAUUGUCGUCUGCAACCCGACGGCAUGAAGUCGGAAUCGCUAGUAAUCGGGUAACAGCAUGACGGGGUGAAAACGUUCCCGGGCCUUGUACCCACCGCCCGUCCCACCAUGGGAGUUGGGUCUACCCGAAGACGGUGGGCCAACC
rnacentral:rRNA from 1 species